rnacentral:rRNA from 1 species
CCUACGGGAGGCAGCAGUAAGGAAUAUUGGACAAUGGCCGAAAGGCUGAUCCAGCCAUGCCGCGUGCAGGAUGAAGGUGCUCUGCAUUGUAAACUGCUUUUGUUCGGGAAUAAACCCCUCUACGUGUAGAGGGCUGAAUGUACCGAAAGAAUAAGGGACGGCUAACUUCGUGCCAGCAGCCGCGGUAAUACGAAGGUCCCAAGCGUUAUCCGGAUUUAUUGGGUUUAAAGGGUGCGUAGGCGGGUUGUUAAGUCAGUGGUGAAAGCCGGCAGCUCAACUGUCGAAUUGCCAUUGAUACUGACGAUCUUGAAUGUGGUUGAGGUGGGCGGAAUGUAUCAUGUAGCGGUGAAAUGCUUAGAUAUGAUACAGAACACCGAUUGCGAAGGCAGCUCACUAAGUCACUAUUGACGCUGAGGCACGAAAGCGUGGGGAGCAAACAGGAUUAGAUACCCGAGUAGUC